rnacentral:tRNA from 1 species
GGGCUUGUAGCUCAGUUGGUAGAGCGCUGUCAUCGCACGGCAGAGGUCAGGGGUUCGAUUCCCCUCAAGUCCA